UGGGAAGUGAGGAGUGUCUCUGCCUGGCCU
rnacentral:piRNA from 1 species